UUGAAAAGAACUUUGAAGAGAGAGUUCAAGAGGGCGUGAAACCGUUUAGAAGUAAACGGGUAAAGCCGCGAGGUAGUCGCAAAAAUCAACCAAUUUACUAGUCCGCCUCGGUUAAAUCGACGUGUAAAGCGGUCGAUCGGGCGUCCAUGGGCUAGCGCGUGGUGCACUUUUUGUGACGAAGCAUUGCGACUAAAGCGAAUUUCGGUGAACGAGGGAACGUGAAGACAGAGCCGAGUGUUCUGCGACUAAGUUCCUUGUUCGGGUGUACCGAUAAGACGUUUUAGUGACUCGAGUAGUCGCCGUUUGGCUCGCGAAACUCUAGACACGGGUCGGUCGAAAUGUCCUUUCUAGCUCGCUGGAACGGACGACCCCCGGUUUGAGUCUAGGGCGUAUGCGAGAGACUACGAAGGUUCGGCAAUGUCCGUGGCGGCCGCUUACCCGACCCGUCUUGAAACACGGACCAAGGAGUCUAACAUGUGCGCGAGUUAUUGGGUGGUAAACCCAAAGGCGAAAUAAAAGUAAAGACCGCGUCUGGCGUGUCUAGAUACGAUCCUCGACUCGGUCGGGGCGGAGUAUCGUCCCAUCUAUGUGGUGCGUCCACUGGGUGGAGAUAGAGCGUAAAUGUUGGGACCCGAAAGAUGGUGAACUAUGCCUGAGCAGAACGAAGCCAGAGGAAACUCUGGUGGAGGUUCGUAGCGGUUCUGACGUGCAAAUCGAUCGUCAGAC
rnacentral:rRNA from 1 species